rnacentral:lncRNA from 1 species
CUUAACAAACAUGUCGAUUAAGACAAGGGAGGGGGGGAUAGGCUUGGAAAGGAAAGGGCAAAUAUAGGGAAGGGUAGUGUGAGGGGGGUAGGUUAGAGGGGGGUGGAAAGGAGACUUUUAGGGCAAGGAGGUUAGGUAGUGUUGGACAAAAGGGCCGGGGGGGGGGUAGAGUUGACUUCCGGAUAGCUUCAUCAUAGUUCUUCUUAUAGCCUUUAAUUCUCAUUUUCCUUUCUUCAAGUAAUCCUCGAAACAUGACCAGUCUGUUGCUUUUGACGCUUUUCCAUUGCUUCUUCUAAUCAGAAAGGUUAAAUAAUCCAUGUCUUUUAUUUCCAACACCUUAUCUAUCCAGGAUUCUUUAGUAGGAGCUUUUUCGGAUUUCCAAUGUUUCGCUAACACCAUUCUUGCUGCCAUGAUAAAAAAAGUAAACAGUUUGUCUGUAUUAUUAUUAAUUUUAAUUUGAGGGUCAUAAAGCCCUAGCAGGAGAAGCUCAGGUUUAAAUUCAAAAUUAGUUUUUAGAAUUUUAUUACAUUCCUCUAAAAUAUUUGCCCAAUAUUUUUGUACUUUCCUACAGCUCCACCACAUAUGGUGGUAAGAGCCUGUUUGAUCUCUGCAUCUCCAACAUUUGUUAUUGACGUUUCUGUACAUAAAACCUAGCUUUUUGGGGGUCAGAUACCAUUUGUGUAUAACUUUUUAUAAUACACUAUUUUUCAAUAUUUGAAGAAACCUGUUCCUGGUUUGAAAGUCUUAUUUCCUGUUCAAUUGGGUUCUUAUCACUGUAAAAGUCCCUCUUCUACUUGUGUAGACUUUGGAUUAGAAAUGCAGCACACGCCAAGCAAUGCCUUGACAGGAUUGGCAAUGUCCUUUGGAAACUAUAAAUUGCUGUGGACCCUCUAUUGAAUCAAAUCAAUGUCUGACUUUGUGAUUGCAGAAAUAAAACUCAGCCCAAGGCAUUGCUUCCCUCAUGCUCCAUUUCUAUUCCCAAGCCUUGGGCUGAGUUUUAUUUCUGCAAUCACAAAGUCAGACAUUGAUUUGAUUCAAAAGAGGGUCCACAGCAAUUUAUAGUUUCCAAAGGACAUUGCCAAUCCUGUCAAGGCAUUGCUUGGCGUGUGCUACAUUUCUAAUCCAAAGUCUACACAAGUAGAAGAGGGACUUUUACAAUGAUAAGAACCCAAUUGAACAGGAAAUAAGACUUUCAAACCAGGAACAGGUUUCUUCAAAUAUUGAAAA